GUAGGUGGGAGGGGCUUGUUAAUUUUUUGCUGAAUUGGCACAGUGAUCUCUAAAGGAUGUCUCAGAACAAGUUUGGUCCAGGCUAUGGGCCUAGCUACGGCUCCUCUCAAGCUGAUGAGUCAAUGGAGGCACAGUGGAUGGAUUAUGACACCUUUGAGGACGGAGGGACCUCUAUAGCUACGGACAUGUCCCAGACAGACAGAGCAGUUCAUGUCAAUUUCUUUAAUGAUUUUGAUGAUAUUUUCAAUGACGAAAACUUGGACUGAGCUAAUAAAACUAGUAUAUACACGUACGCGCAUAGACAAUGCUUCUUCACAUUCAUUUCUGUACGUUAUCAAAUCACAAUUAUAUAGUGCAUUUGUGAAUUGUGUUAAUGAUUUUUAAAACUGA